rnacentral:rRNA from 1 species
UACAUAGGUGGCAAGCGUUAAUCGGAAUUACUGGGCGUAAAGCGCACGCAGGCGGUUUGUUAAGUCAGAUGUGAAAUCCCCGGGCUCAACCUGGGAACUGCAUUUGAAACUGGCAAGCUUGAGUCUCGUAGAGGGGGGUAGAAUUCCAGGUGUAGCGGUGAAAUGCGUAGAGAUCUGGAGGAAUACCGGUGGCGAAGGCGGCCCCCUGGACGAAGACUGACGCUCAGGUGCGAAAGCGUGGGGAGCAAACAGG